GACCUGGCGCGGCUACCGUCUGCGUGACGUCAUCAGGAAAAAGCGGGGAUGGCUGCGACCGCAGCGCCCCCUGGCGGCGAGAGGCGGGAAAACCUCUGGAGGACCUCCCAGAGAUCCCUCCCAGCCCCUGUGCUGCUGUGACAGACGGGUGUGUGAAGGGGCACAGCGGGCAGGUGGACGUUUGGUGGCUUUCCAGGCUCAAAGCACCGCAGCCCUGGGAUGCCACCGGGACUUUGACGGUCAUCAGCCACGUCCCUCCCUUCGUCUCCAUUCACUGCAAUGGGAGCUGGGUUGGGUGCACCCGCAGGGAUGGGGCACACACGGCCUCUGGGCAGCAGUGCAGGGCCUCAGCUCCCUCUGUGAACACCUUCCCCCACAUCUAAUCCAAAUCUCCAUUCCUUUACAUUAAAACCAUUCCCCUUUGUCCCAUCUCCCCACAAGAAAAGUUCAUUUUCCUCCUGUUUAUCAUCUCCCUUGAAACAGUGGGAGGCUAUCACCACGAUGGCAGGCACAGCAAGUUGAUGACAUGGCAGGCACAGAGCAGUGCCUGUGACACCACGGGACAGCGUCAUAGAGGGGCACUGUGAGCUCAGGGCAGAGGGGCUGACCCCAGCGCUCACGGAACCCCCCACUGCCACUCUCGAGCUGCCACGGCAGGUAAGGCAGCAGGCUCCUCCUGCUCCUGGCACUGCGGCCCUCCAGGGGGUCCCAGUGCCCCACAUCUCACCCCGGCGCCCAUUUGGGCAUUUCCCCACAGAGAGAAUUCCUUCAUCGCUGACGGUGCUUCCGACACCCGACGCAACUUUAUUUGGAGCCUUUGUGCCCCCACCGGCCACUGCUGCGAUGCAGACCACCAUUGGCGGAGCAGUGCCCGUAUCCUUCCAGCCCAUCCCUGCCCCCAAUGUCACCUCCAUGGUGCCUCAGGCCUCUGUCCAGCCGGGGGUACCGGGUGUGCAGGGACAGGGAGCGCAGCUGCCACCUGGGGCGAUGCCUCAAACUGUGCUUC
rnacentral:lncRNA from 1 species